CCCGACUGCUAUCAGAGUGGGACUAAGCCAUGCGAGUCGACAUAGCAAUAUGUGGCAUACGGCUCAGUAACACGUAGUCAACAUGCCCAGGGGACGUGGAUAACCUCGGGAAACUGAGGAUAAACCGCGAUAGGUCAUCACUUCUGGAAUGGGUAAUGACUUAAACCUAUAUGGCCCCUGGAUUGGACUGCGGCCGAUCAGGCUGUUGGUGAGGUAAUGGCCCACCAAACCUGUAACCGGUACGGGCUCUGAGGGGAGGAGCCCGGAGAUGGGCACUGAGACAAGGGCCCAGGCCCUAUGGGGCGCAGCAGGCGCGAAACCUCUGCAAUAGGCGAAAGCUUGACAGGGUUACUCUGAGUGAUUUCCGUUAAGGAGAUCUUUUGGCACCUCUAAAAAUGGUGCAGAAUAAGGGGUGGGCAAGUCUGGUGUCAGCCGCCGCGGUAAUACCAGCACCCCGAGUGGUCGGGACGUUUAUUGGGCCUAAAGCAUCCGUAGCCGGUUCUACAAGUCUUCCGUUAAAUCCACCUGCUUAACAGAUGGGCUGCGGAAGAUACUAUAGAGCUAGGAGGCGGGAGAGGCAAGCGGUACUCGAUGGGUAGGGGUAAAAUCCGUUGAUCCAUUGAAGACCACCAGUGGCGAAGGCGGCUUGCCAGAACGCGCUCGACGGUGAGGGAUGAAAGCUGGGGGAGCAAACCGGAUUAGAUACCCGGGUAGUCCCAGCUGUAAACGAUGCAGACUCGGUGAUGAAUUGGCUUAUUGCUAAUUCAGUGCCGCAGGGAAGCCGUUAAGUUUGCCGCCUGGGGAGUACGGUCGCAAGACUGAAACUUAAAGGAAUUGGCGGGGGAGCACCACAAGGGGUGAAGCCUGCGGUUCAAUUGGAGUCAACGCCGGAAAUCUUACCGGGGGCGACAGCAAAGUGAAGGUCAAGCUGAAGACUUUACCAGACAAGCUGAGAGGAGGUGCAUGGCCGUCGCCAGCUCGUGCCGUGAGGUGUCCUGUUAAGUCAGGUAACGAGCGAGAUCCCUGCCUCUAGUUGCUACCAUUAUUCUCAGGAGUAGUGGAGCUAAUUAGAGGGACCGCCGUCGCUGAGACGGAGGAAGGUGGGGGCUACGGCAGGUCAGUAUGCCCCGAAACCCUCGGGCCACACGCGGGCUGCAAUGGUAAGGACAAUGAGUUUCGAUUCCGAAAGGAGGAGGCAAUCUCUAAACCUUACCACAGUUAUGAUUGAGGGCUGAAACUCGCCCUCAUGAAUAUGGAAUCCCUAGUAACCGCGUGUCACUAUCGCGCGGUGAAUACGUCCCUGCUCCU
rnacentral:rRNA from 1 species